AACUAGUUAUCUUAAUUUAAAGAAGAUAUUUUGAAAGUAUCCUAUAGGAAUUUAAAUUUCCUACUAGUUU
rnacentral:tRNA from 1 species